GACGAACGCUGGCGGCGUGCCUAAUACAUGCAAGUAGAACGCACAGUUUAUACCGUAGCUUGCUACACCAUAGACUGUGAGUUGCGAACGGGUGAGUAACGCGUAGGUAACCUGCCUGGUAGCGGGGGAUAACUAUUGGAAACGAUAGCUAAUACCGCAUAAUAUUAAUUAUUGCAUGAUAAUUAAUUGAAAGGUGCAAUUGCACCACUACCAGAUGGACCUGCGUUGUAUUAGCCAGUAGGUGAGGUAACGGCUCACCUAGGCGACGAUACAUAGCCGACCUGAGAGGGUGAUCGGCCACACUGGGACUGAGACACGGCCCAGACUCCUACGGGAGGCAGCAGUAGGGAAUCUUCGGCAAUGGACGAAAGUCUGACCGAGCAACGCCGCGUGAGUGAAGAAGGUUUUCGGAUCGUAAAGCUCUGUUGUAAGAGAAGAACGGGUGUGAGAGUGGAAAGUUCACACUGUGACGGUAUCUUACCAGAAAGGGACGGCUAACUACGUG
rnacentral:rRNA from 1 species